rnacentral:rRNA from 1 species
GAUGAACGCUGGCAGCGUGCCUAAUACAUGCAAGUCGAUCGAACAGAUGUGGAUCUUGCUCCUCUGACGUUCGCGGCGGACGGGUAAGUGACACGUAGUUAACCUACAUAUAAGACUGGGAGAACUUCGGGACACCGGAGAUCAUGCCGGGUAAUAUAUUCAACUGCCUGGUUCGAUGAUGAGAGAUGCUUUUGGUGUCCCUUAUAGAUUGUUCCCUGCCGGAUUAGGUAGUUGGUCAGGUAGCGGCUUACCAAUGCAAGGAUGCGUAGCCGACCUGAGCGGGUGAGCGGCCACACUGGAACGGAGACACGGUCCAGACGCCUACGGGAGGCAGCAGUAGGGAAUCUGCCGCAAUGGGGGAAAGCCUGACGGAGCAACGCCGCGUGAGUGAUGAAGGUCUUCGGAGCGUAAAACUCUGUUAUUAGGGAAGAACAAAUGUGUAAGUAACUAUGCACGUCUUGACGGUACCUGAACAGAAAGCCACGGCUAACUACGUG